rnacentral:rRNA from 1 species
CCUACGGGAGGCAGCAGUGGGGAAUAUUGCACAAUGGGGGAAACCCUGAUGCAGCGACGCCGCGUGAGUGAAGAAGUAUUUCGGUACGUAAAGCUCUAUCAGCAGGGAAGAGAAUGAGGGUAUCUGACUAAGAUGCCCCGGCUAACUACGUGCCAGCAGCCGCGGUAAUACGUAGGGGGCAAGCGUUUUCCGGAUUUACUGGGUGGAAAGGGAGCGUAGACGGGGGGUCAAGUCUGGAGUGAAAUCCCAUGGCUUAACCAUGGAACUGCUUUGGAAACUGUGCAGCUAGAGUGCAGGAGAGGUAAGCGGAAUUCCUAGUGUAGCGGUGAAAUGCGUAGAUAUUAGGAGGAACACCGGCGGCGAAGGCGGCCUGCUGGACCGCGACUGACGUUGAGGCUCGAAAGCGUGGGGAGCGAACAGGAUUAGAUACCCCAGUAGUC